rnacentral:rRNA from 1 species
GACGGAGGGUGCUAGCGUUGUUCGGAAUUACUGGGCGUAAAGGGCGCGUAGGCGGCCUUCUAAGUCGAACGUGAAAUCCCCGGGCUCAACCCGGGAACUGCGUCCGAUACUGGAAGGCUUGAAUCCGGGAGAGGGAUGCGGAAUUCCAGGUGUAGCGGUGAAAUGCGUAGAUAUCUGGAGGAACACCGGUGGCGAAGGCGGCAUCCUGGACCGGCAUUGACGCUGAGGCGCGAAAGCCAGGGGAGCAAACGGG